UGGAACUGAGCGAGGCCACGAACUUGAUGAGCGUGCUUCCGCUGUGCAGCUACCGCACUAUGCUCCCCUGUCUUUGAGGAAUUACUCUCACCUUUUUGAAAGCUAAUUGAUGCCUUUUGAAGGAAUUUUGUAUCCAGAAGUGGUAGCCAUAUGUCCAAGAAGGUUUCUAGGACAUCCUGUCCCACCACAUCACCAGAAAUUGAAGGCCUUGGUGGACCAGAUGACCGACACCAUCCAAGAG